rnacentral:rRNA from 1 species
UACGGAGGGAGCUAGCGUUGUUCGGAAUUACUGGGCGUAAAGCGCACGUAGGCGGCUUUGUAAGUUAGAGGUGAAAGCCCGGAGCUCAACUCCGGAAUUGCCUUUAAGACUGCAUCGCUUGAAUCCGGGAGAGGUGAGUGGAAUUCCGAGUGUAGAGGUGAAAUUCGUAGAUAUUCGGAAGAACACCAGUGGCGAAGGCGGCUCACUGGACCGGUAUCGACGCUGAGGUGCGAAAGCGUGGGGAGCAAACAGG